AGAUCCCAGAAAGGCCACACUGUGCAAACACGCCUGUAGACACAGCUUUAAUCAGUCGUGAAAUGAGAUACAUGGUUAAUCAGUUUACAAUAUGCACAACCCUGAGGUAUCAUGAAGAAAUCCAUAUGCCCUGAAGUUACCAUCCUAGAGACAUCAUUUGGAGAGACUACAGUGCACAGAAGUAGAGAGGCCCAGCUGUGCCUGUCCCCAACUGAUGGAGUCUUCUCAGUGUCAGUCACCAGACAUGCCCAUCAUGAUCUGAAGGCAGCGGUGGUUGCUGGUGGAGGAUGUGAGCUUUGGAACUGGAGCUCUUUGAUUCAAAGCUCUGCCGCUUACUCACUGGAUAAGACCAUGAUCAAGUUAUUUCAUCUGAAAAAUUGAGUUGACUGCAGGUAACUGAAACUGCGGAAAGUGAAACUGCAGAUAAGAGGGACCACUGUAAAUAAGUGACAUGAAUGAUACUGCAAAGGACCAUAGCCUAACCAGCCAAGCAAACUGGAAGUACCUUUAGACUCACGCUUUGCCAAGCUCAGUUCCAGAAUCACAUGAUGAAAAGAAUGAUGGAAAGAAAAUGUUUGUGAUAUUAAAAUUAAGGAAAUUACUCCAACUCAGAGCUUUGAAUCUUGACAGAGUGUUGCAAAGACAGAAGAAAUGGUAAAGUUUCAUUUCCUUAUUUUUGGCAACUGGAAGACAAAUUGCCUACUUGUUCCAAACCUGGUUCACUAGCUAUCCCUCAAUUCCCAUAAGCUUCCCUAUUAUUCUUCCAUAAAGUUCCUUUUUUGCUGUCAUUACUGAAGCAAUACAGAAUCACAAAAUUCU
rnacentral:lncRNA from 1 species